rnacentral:lncRNA from 1 species
AUGCUCACUGGAGGUUGCCCCCAGCCGGUGCGCAGAGACGCACCCCCGGAGCUGCGGGUCGUUCCUCGACUUGAACCGCAGCUCCUUGCACAGGCUGUUCGGACCUGCUGGUGGGGAGCCUGGCUCGGCCUGGGGCGAAGAGCUAAAGGUGGACGCGGCUGCCGUGUUUGCCGAGAGUCCAGUUUGAAGCCUGGAUGCCCUUCUGCUCCCUUUACGUCACUCACAGACACACCCACGGGGGUAGGCCACGUGCGCAGACACGUCUUCAGAUGCACGGGGGAGAGGUCCCGCUGGAGACGAGACUCUGAAGCCUGGCUGCCCUGGGGCUCCGGCUCCUGCACGGCCUCCUCCGGGUCCCACCUGCGUGCGUGGCUCUGCACUUGGCCCGAGCCCAGCAGCUUGGCAGGACAGGGUAAAUAUACGCCCUGCGUCUCCACUCCUGUGGAUCUCGUACCAAGGCAACCGUUUCCAGGACGGAGGCUGGAUCCAGGAUUUGGGAGGAGGAGUGGCGAGGGUUAUGUCUGCCAGGGAAUCCAGGCCUGGAGAGUACUUCUUGGAGCCCUUGUUAGCGUGUUCCCUUCGGGUACCCUACUGUGGAGCACGAGGCGUGGGGUGUGGCUGCUUUCCUGCACCUUCCCAGUUAGGAAGCUGGAUUGCCGGGCCAGCUAGCUGUCCUGCAAGCUGAGGGCUGCAUGCAGGGUGUGGCAGGCCCAUCAUCAUGGGUCUGGCCUGGCCCAUGACCCUCUAAGCUGAGCCCACCUUGGCAGAGAGGCUUAGAGGGAUCCCUAGUGCAAAGGCUGAUGUGACCUCACAGGCGCUCUGUGUGCAGCUCCCGUGGGUCCCCAGGGCUCACCGUUCCCUCUAAUGCAUCCUCGGACCCACCUUAGCGAAUGGCACCCCCACACCUCCCAGGUACCCAAGCAUCUCUUCGUCCUUCUGCUCACCGUCCAGCCGUCUAGCAGUCCUCCUGGCCCCACAGGCUCGCCGGUGAGCGCCCUUUGCCCAGGCAUCCAAUCACCCAGGGUUUCCUGAGCACUUUCUAAAGCCAAUGCCGUUCCAGGUGUGGGGAUGGGCGAGUGGCUGAGGCAGGGACCCUCUCUCUGAGCAGGGCUGCUACACGCUCAUGCAAGUGUGUGUACGCCCAGCGUCCCCGUGCACAGGGACCCGGGCUGCAGCGGAUGGAGGGGUGAUACCAGCCAGGCUGGCAGAAGAGUGUGGAGGUCUGAUCAUUCCUCCCCUUAUGUCCUUUCCCUGCCCGCAAGCCUGUGAUCUCAGGAGCUGAGGAGGGCAGAAGGCUGGAGGCUGGUGGGUAUAGAGAGGGGCCGAGGUGGAGCUGUGGAGAUCAUCAGCAUGGGGUUGGGGGUGGGUGAUUCUCCCCAGGGACGGUGUGCAGGUGAGAGGGGGGCCACCAUGGUUAAGGGAGGAGUGAAAGAACAGUCACUCAGGAGGGUCACUGGGGUGGGAGAGGCAAGGCGGUGGGAGUCAGGAGAGAGCAAGGAGGAGGAGGGAGUGGUCCUCAGGGAGUACUGCCAGAGGGCCGUGGGUGGGGUGGCUGGAGCCCUGCACGGAGCAAUGCCGGGGGAGUGCAGCCUGCAGCCCGCCUGGGGAGCGGGGAGGAGCUGCCCAGACUGCUGAGUGUGACUGUUGCCCAGGGAGGUGUGUUGGGACUUGCAUGCUGGAAGAAGGAUCUCCAAUCUGGGGACGGGGUCCUGGGCUCCGGUCCUGCCCCAGGAGGAAGAGGGUCAGUCCCUGUACCUCCGGGGGCCUUGGUUUCCCCAUCGCAGGUCAGUGACUGACUUCCCUGACUUCAUAGUUCUGCCAUGGUGAGGAUUUGAUUUCGAGAAGUGACAGGAGGCAGGGGGCCUGGGGAAGGCUUGUCCCCUAUCCAGUUUCCAGCCCUAGAACAGGAGCAGUUCAAGGGCCCAGCAGGCAGUGGGGGGGUGGGCGCCAGAUAAGGGGGAGCUGGAAGCCCCGCACCACAGCCCCCUGGACCUGGGGGGAGGUCAGCCUCACUAGCUCGCUGACAUCAGGGCUGGUGAAUGUGAAGGGAGUGCAGCCCCGGUCAGUAGGCAGUCCUGGCCUCCCUCGUGGCCUGGUACAGGGCGAGGGCUGAGCUGGAGCCCAGAGGCCACCUCCCCCAACCCCCUCCCCAUCCCAGAAUCUCCUGGGUCCCCUUCCCUCCCUCUGUCCCUGCCCCUCUGCCCCUCUCUUCACGCUCCUGGUGCAGCUCUCCUCUCCCAGGCUCAUCUCCAGCUACUGACUCAGUGGUCUGACUGCUGAGGGAGAGUGGCCAAGGGGGGCGGUCUGAUUCUGGGACUGUCUGCCUUCCCAGAACCCACAGUGAGCCCCAUCUCCGCCCUUGACAGAGUCCGGCUUCAGCGGCAGAGGGAGCCCUGCCCUGCCCCUAAGCAGCUCCUCCCAAAUGUUCUCCUGGCGGAUGGGGACAGCAGAGAACUUACCCAAGGUGGGAGGGGGGAUCCCUGCCCACACCCACGCCCACGCCCACCCCCAUGGACACUGCAGGCUCAUGCUAGGCGGUCACACUCGCUUGUGCCCCCCAGGACUUCCCACACGGUUCUUCCAUGGGUCCUGCAAAGGAAGGAACUAGGCUUUUCUGGCUGAGACCGGGUCUCUGAACCUCUGGCUCCCAUGCUCAGACCUGCAGGGGCCAUGAGUGCUGACAGGGGUGGGGGUGGGGUGGAGAGGCUCUCCCAGCCUCCCCCAGCCCCUCCAAAGCUUCUGCCCAGAGAAAGAAGGCAGGGAGAGGUUUGGCUCACCCCUUGCAGAUGGCUGCUUGGAACACACGCUCACACAUUUACACGCACAUGAAACAUGCACGCCUUUUGGCACUUGACUUUCUCAUGAAAUAAUUGCUGGAAGGCUUCUCGGAUUAGGUAACCCAGUGUUCCUUCCUGUCCCUGUGGUGGAGGGGAGCAAGGGAGGGGGGAUCCAUGCUCAACAUCUGUCAGGCUGAUCCACAGUCCCGGAACCGUAACACGACAGCAACAAGCCCUUCAGACCUCUUGUUCCCGAGGCAUCUAGCUGGGCCUCUUUCAGGUGGGCCUGGCCUGGUAAGGAGAAGGCUCGUCAGGAAAGGUUUUCGGGAAAAGGAUGGGAUGGUGCCAUUUUUAUUUUAGAACAGAUGACAAUGACACAAACUCAGAGAAUCUUUGCUCAUCAUCCCUCCGGUCCUCCUGAAGCAGCAAUUGUUUCCCUUCUUGCCUUUCUUGUGAGGGUUGGGCGGUGGGGGGAGGUUGGAAGGGAGGGUAUCUGGGUUUAGGCAUGAAAGGAGUGUUGAGAGGGAACAGAGGUGGGACAGUGACCGAGACUCUGAUGCAGAGACAGGGCCCAUUAGUCCCAAACUCACUCAUCCUAGGAUUUGGAGAUUCGGCCCUCAGUGCACCCUUUCCUCUCUGCCAGACCUCAGCCUCCCCUGGGCCCCCUACCAGGAUCCCCCACCAGGGGCCACUUGCUGAGCCUGGAGCCCCUGCUGACCACUGGCUAGCAGGACACAAAGACGGAGCCACACAGAGUGGGGCUGGGAGGGGCCCUCGCACAGGUCUCCUCCGCCCUUGGGUCUUCAUAGCAGGUGCAACAGAUUCCAGGCAAAGCUCCCCCAGGUGAGUGUGUGCCUGUCAGAGCCGUGCCCCCGGGUAGAGCGAGCAGAGACCAGGGCAGGCGAGGGUCAGGGAGGCAAUGCUGGGGGGCUCCCUGAGCAGUGGGGAGUCCCCACCCCCGGGGAGACCGGGCCCCGGAGGGAACGCAUAACCCGCAUCCGUGGUCUCCAGGUUAAAGUCCACUUGGGGGUAGAGGCCUUCUUCCGGCGGUGCGGCCGCCCCUCGCCCAGGCCGUACGCCCCUCCUCGGGGUCGGCGGGGAGAGCUCUUGGACCAGCGCUCCCCCGGCGGCCCCGCUCCUCCGGC